ACGGGAGGCAGCAGUGGGGAAUAUUGCACAAUGGGGGGAACCCUGAUGCAGCAACGCCGCGUGAGUGAAGAAGUAUUUCGGUAUGUAAAGCUCUAUCAGCAGGGAAGAUAAUGACGGUACCUGACUAAGAAGCUCCGGCCAAAUACGUGCCAGCAGCCGCGGUAAUACGUAUGGAGCAAGCGUUAUCCGGAUUUACUGGGUGUAAAGGGUGCGUAGGUGGCAUUGCAAGUCAGAUGUGAAAUACCGGGGCUCAACCCCGGGGCUGCAUUUGAAACUGCAAAGCUAGAGUGCAGGAGGGGCAGGCGGAAUUCCUAGUGUAGCGGUGAAAUGCGUAGAUAUUAGGAGGAACACCAGUGGCGAAGGCGGCUUACUGGACGAUAACUGACGUUGAGGCUCGAAAGCGUGGGGAGCAAACAGGAUUAGAUACCCUGGUA
rnacentral:rRNA from 1 species